rnacentral:rRNA from 1 species
UACGAAGGGUGCAAGCGUUACUCGGAAUUACUGGGCGUAAAGCGUGCGUAGGUGGUGAGUUAAGUCUGUCGUGAAAGCCCCGGGCUCAACCUGGGAAUGGCGAUGGAUACUGGCUCGCUAGAGUGCGGUAGAGGAGAGUGGAAUUCCCGGUGUAGCAGUGAAAUGCGUAGAGAUCGGGAGGAACAUCAGUUGCGAAGGCGGCUCACUGGCCCGUAACUGACGCUGAGGCACGAAAGCGUGGGGAGCAAACAGG